rnacentral:rRNA from 1 species
AGAGUUUGAUCCUGGCUCAGAACGAACGCUGGCGGCAGGCCUCAAACAUGCAAGUCUAGGGGGUUUAGCAAUACAUCACCGGCGGACGGGUGCGUAACGCGUGGGAAUAUACCUUUUGGUUCGGAACAACUGAGGGAAACUUCAGCUAAUACCGAAUGUGCCCUUACGGGGAAAGAUUUAUCGCCAAAGGAUUAGCCCGCGUAGGAUUAGCUAGUUGGUGAGGUAAUGGCUCACCAAGGCUCCGAUCCUUAGCUGUUCUGAGAGGAAGAUCAGCCACACUGGGACUGAGACACGGCCCAGACUCCUACGGGGGGCAGCAGUGGGGAAUUGUUCGCAAUGGGCGCAAGCCUGACGACGCAACGCCGCGUGGAGGAUGAAGGUCUUCGGAUUGUAAACUCCUGUUGCCCGGGACGAAACGUUUCGACCUAACACGUCGAGAUCUGACGGUACCGGGUGAGGAAGCCCCGGCUAACUCUGUGCCAGCAGCCGCGGUAAUAC